rnacentral:rRNA from 1 species
GACGAACGCUGGCGGCGUGCUUAACACAUGCAAGUCGAACGGAAAGGCCCUGCUUUUGUGGGGUGCUCGAGUGGCGAACGGGUGAGUAACACGUGAGUAACCUGCCCUUGACUUUGGGAUAACUUCAGGAAACUGGGGCUAAUACCGGAUAGGAUCUCCUGCUGCAUGGUGGGGGUUGGAAAGUUUCGGCGGUUGGGGAUGGACUCGCGGCUUAUCAGCUUGUUGGUUGGGUAGUGGCUUACCCAGGCUUUGACGGGUAGCCGGCCUGAGAGGGUGACCGGCCACAUUGGGACUGAGAUACGGCGCAGACGCCUACGGGAGGCAGCAGUGGGGAAUAUUGCACAAUGGGCGGAAGCCUGAUGCAGCAACGCCGCGUGCGGGAUGACGGCCUUCGGGUUGUAAACCGCUUUCGCCUGUGACGAAGCGUGAGUGACGGUAAUGGGUAAAGAAGCACCGGCUAACUACGUG